rnacentral:rRNA from 1 species
CCUACGGGUGGCAGCAGUGAGGAAUAUUGGUCAAUGGGCGCGAGCCUGAACCAGCCAAGUAGCGUGAAGGAUGACUGCCCUACGGGUUGUAAACUUCUUUUAUAAAGGAAUAAAGUGAGGCACGUGGGCCUUUUUGUAGUUACUUUAUGAAUAAGGAUCGGUUAACUCCGUGCCAGCAGCCGCGGUAAUACGGAGGAUCCGAGCGUUAUCCGGAUUUUUUGGGUUUAAAGGGAGCGUAGAUGGGUUGUUAAGUCAGUUGUGAAAGUUUGCGGCUCAACCGUAAAAUUGCAAUUGAUACUGGCAGUCUUGAGUACGGGUGAGGUAGGCGGAAUUCGUGGUGUAGCGGUGAAAUGCUUAGAUAUCACGAAGAACUCCGAUUGCGAAGGCAGCUUACUAAACUGCCACUGACAUUGAUGCUCGAAAGUGUGGGUAUCAAACAGGAUUAGAUACCCGUGUAGUC